GAGAGUGUAGUGGGUGCUUUUUACGUGCCACCAGCACAGGUGCCAGUCAGGCAGUACUGGCAACGAUUUCACUCGAAUCUUUUUCCAAAUGCAACCAGCACAGGUGCCAGUAAGGCAAUGUUGGUAACGAUCACACUCGAAUGGUGCCCUUUUACAUGCCACCGGCACGGAAGCCAGUUGGCUACUGUGGCAAUGAUCAUGCUCGGAUGGU